GAGAAAUCGGAGUUAGUUAGUUUUCUGGUUAAAGAUAGGAGCGGUAGGUGGGCGAGAGCAAAUUUUAAGAUUGUCCUAUCAUAUCAUGGAGGUUCUUUUGAUGGAUGGCAGAAGCAGCCUGAUCUGAAUACCGUCCAAGGACACUUGGAGAAAGGAUGUUAAGAUUCAAGAUGUAAAAGAUGCCCUUGAUAAGGCAGCACCAGGAAAGAUCAGGGUAGUUUCUCUCACCAAGGUGAAAUAUUUUAAGCUCUUUUUCUAUCUCUAGCUCUUCACUGUUCAGAUCCAGGUAACACACUUUUCCGGCCACUUUUACGGUCAGGUAAUGCCGGCGACCAGGUAACGCCGGCCACUUUUCCGGCCACUACAAGACCAGGUAAUGCCAUCCACUUUUCCGGCCAGAUCUACUUUUAUUCUCUCUUCCCUUUUCUUCUUCUCCUCUUCUUCUUCUCUUCUCCUUUUUUCCCCUUUUUUUACCUGCUUCUGGCGCUGCCAGAACCCCGCUGCUCCGUCGCCGGCGACCUUUUCCGGAAUCAUUUUCCGGCCAGUCCUCUCUUUCUCUCUCCUUUUUUUUCUUCUUUCCCCCUCUUCUCUUCUCCCUGUCAGGUCUUUGUGAACAUUACUCCGGCAGUGAACAGUACCUCGACGUUGAACAGUAACUCCGACGUUGAACAGUGUUUUCCGGCGGCGAACAGGUUCAGUUCAACUGGAGUUGGUACCUCCGGUUUCCAUAUCCAUUCUUUGUUCAUACACUUGUAGUUACAUUUUGCUGACUUUAGACCUUUGAAUAAUUUAUUAGUUCAUACUCGUUUUCAUGGCUUUGGUUAUUGAUGGUAGACUAGGGUCAUGUUCUCGUUCGGGGACGGGGGCGAGGGUUAGGAGGGGUAAGUGGGUUAAAGGAGCGUCUAGGCUGAGAGUAGGUUCUUGGAACAUUGGGACGUUAACGGGGAAGUCCAUAGAGCUAGUUAAGAUUCUUAAGAAGAGGAAGAUUAAUAUAGCUUGUGUCCAAGAGACCAAAUGGGUAGGUCCUAAAGCUAAGGAGGUAGACGGGUAUAAGCUUUGGUUCUUUGAUAGGUUGAAGUAUAGGAAUGGGGUAGGCAUUUUAGUAGAUAGUGAAUUAAGGGAUCAGGUGGUAGAGGUUAGGAGAGUCACUGAUAGGAUGAUGUCGAUUAAGGUGGUCGUUGAAGGGCUCACUUUGAACAUUAUUAGUGCAUAUACGCCGCAAGCGGGCUUAGGUGAGGAGGAGAAGAGGGGCUUUUGGGAGGAUUUGGAUGAGUUAGUGGGGGGCAUACCGCCUACUGAGAAGCUAUUCGUGGGUGGUGAUUUCAAUGGGCACAUCGGGCCUAUUUCGGGAGGUUAUGAUGAUGUGCAUGGAGGCUUUGGCUUCGGGGAUAAGAAUGGAGGAGGAGUCUCACUUUUGGAUUUUGCAAGAGCUUUUGGGUUGGUGAUAGCCAAUUCGAGUUUCCCAAAGAAGGAGGAGCACUUGGUAACCUUCCGUAGUUCGGUGGCUAAGACUCAGAUAGACUUUUUACUCCUUAGGAAGGAUGAUAACGGUCUGUGCAAAGACUGUAAGGUCAUUCCGAGCGACAACCUUACAACCCGACAUAGGCUCUUGGUGAUGGAUUUAGGGAUCAAGAUGACGAGGAAGAGGAGGGUCGUGGAUGACCGACCUAGGAUCAGAUGGGGGAGUUUGACCACGACUAGUGCCCUGCAGAUGGGAGAGAAAUUGAAGGAUAUGGGGGCCUGGGAUAGUAGUGGGGAUGCGACCAGUAUGUGGGAUAGGACGACUAGUUGCAUUAGGGUAAUAGCAAGGGAAGUGUUGGGGUCUCGACAGGUAGUCGUGGUUGGCAUCGAGGGGACUAGUGGUGGAAUGGAGAAGUUCAAGGGAAGGUGGAAGUAAAGAAGGUGGCGUAUGCGAAGUUGAUAGAAAGCAAGGAUGAGGUGGAGAAGUGGACGAAUAGGGAACUUUAUAAGAUGGCGAGGAAGGAGGUGAAGUUGGCGGUUUUGACGGCAAAAACGACAGCUUUUGAACGCCUUUAUGCUGAACUAGAGGAGAAAGACGGGGAUCAGAAAUUGUUCAGGCUAGCCAAGGCGAGGAAGAGAAGGGCACGUGAUGUGGAUCAAGUGAAGUGCAUCAAGGACGAGGAUGACAAAGUAUUGGUAGAGGAGACUCUCAUUAGACGAAGGUGUCAGUCAUACUUCCACAAACUCUUGAAUGAAGAAGGGGACAGAGAUAUUGUGUUAGGAAAUUUAGAACAUACAGGGAGGCGUCACAAUUUUGGGUAUUGCAGGAGUAUUAAGGUUGAGGAGGUUAAGGGUGCUGUUCAUAGGAUGGGCAAGGGAAGAGCGACCGGACCUGACGAGAUUCCUGGGGAAUUUUGGAAUAGCGUGGGCUCGGCAGGUUUGGAGUGGCUGACUAGGUUGUUUAAUGUCAUCUUUAAGACGACAAUGAUGCUCGAAGAAUGGAGGUCGAGUGUAAUGAUCCCUCUAUACAAGAACAAGGGAGAUAUCCAGAGUUGCAACAACUAUAGAGGUAUCAAGCUGCUAAGCCAUACUAUGAAAGUGUGGGAAAAGGUGGUGGAGAUGAGGGUGAGGAGAGGCGUGUCUAUUUCAGAGAACCAGUUCAGAUUCAUGCCAGACGCUCAACUACAGAAGCCAUCCAUCUUGUGAGGAGACUGGUGGAGCAGUAUAGGGAGAGGAAGAGGGACUUACACAUGGUAUUCAUCGACCUAGAAAAGGCUUACGACAAAGUUCCAAGGGAGAUCCUAUGGAGAUGCUUGGAGGCUAAAGGUGUACCUGUGGCGUAUAUUAGGGUGAUCAAGGACAUGUAUGAGGGAGCCAAAACCAGGGUAAGGACAGUAGAAGGAGACUCAGAGCACUUCCCAGUUGUGAUGGGGUUGCAUUAAGGAUCAGCUCUUAGUCCGUUUUUAUUUGCCUUGAUGUUGGAUGGAUUGACGCGGCAAAUUCAAGGUGAGGUGCCACGGUGUAUGCUUUUCGCGGAUGACAUAGUCCUGAUCGUCGAGACUCGUAGCGAAGUUAACGCUAAGCUGGAGGGUCGGAGACAUACUCUGGAGUCUAAAGGGUUUAAGUUGAGUAGGACCAAGAUAGAGUACUUGGAGUGCAAGUUCAGUGAAGCACCUCAGGAGGCUGGUGUGGAAGUGAGGCUUGGUACCCAGGCCAUCCAGAAGAAAAGUAGUUUCAAGUAUCUUGGGUCUAUUAUGCAAGGCAGCGGGGAGAUUGACGAUGAUGUCACACAUCGUAUUGGGGCAGGGUGGAUGAAAUGGAGGCUCGCUUCCGGAGUGCUAUGUGACAAGAAGGUGCCACCACAACUUAAGGGCAAGUUCUACAAAGUGGUGGUUAGACUGACUAUGUUGUAUGGGGCGGAGUGUUGGCCAGUUAAGAUCUCUCACGUUCAAAAGAUGAAAGUUGCCGAGAUGAGGAUGUUGAGAUGGAUGUGUGGGCACACCAGGAGUGACAAAAUUAGGAAUGAGGCUAUUCGGGACAAGGUGGGAGUGGCCUCGGUGGAAGACAAGAUGCGGGAAGCGAGACUGAGAUGGUUUGGGCAUGUGAAGAGGAGAGACACAGAUGCCCCAGUGCGGAGGUGUGAGAGGUUGGCCAUGGAUGGUUUCAGAAGAGGUAGGGGUAGGCCGAAGAGGUAUUGGGGAGAGGUGAUUAGACAGGAAAUGGCGCAGUUACAGCUUGCCAAGGACAUGACCUUAGAUAGGAGGGUUUGGAGGACCCAGAUUAGGGUAGAAGGCUAGUAGAUAGUCUCGUUAUCCUUCCUUAUUAGUAGUCGCAUUAUCGCAGUGUAAUUUCUUGUGCUUUGAUUUCUGCUAUUAUCUGUUAUUUUCUGUACUUUGAUUAUCCUAUUUUAUCUGUGUCACUUUCGUUAUUUUUAUUUCCAUAUCGCCUUGAAUUUCUUAGCCUUAUCUGACCUCUUUUUAUGCUUUUUAUUGAGCUGAGGGUCUUUCGGAAACAACCGUCCUACCUUGGUAGGAGUAAGGUCUGCGUACACUCUACCCUCCCCAGACCCCACGUUGUGAGAUUUCACUGGGUUGUUGUUGUUGCUGUUGUUGUUUUGGGCAUACUCCACAUGUGCAUAUUUCGGAAAGUUUGGUUAGAGAGAAUCAGUAUGUUUGAAGGAAAAGAAACAUCUGCCUUCUUGGUAUCCCGGGAAUUUCACCCCAACUUCUCAGCAAAAUGGAGACACUAUCUGUAUAUAUUCCCUAUUGAUGAUGUAUUAAACGAAAAGCAAGGUGGUCAAAUCUGGAUCAACGGUUGCACUGAUGUUCAUCAACAGAAUC